GCUUACGGCCACACCACCUUCAGCACGCCCGAUCUCGUCUGAUCUCGGAAGCUAAGCAGUGUCGGGCCUGGUUAGUACUUGGAUGGGAGACCGCCUGGGAACACCAGGUGCUGUAAGCU
rnacentral:rRNA from 1 species